AACGCUUCUUAAGAAAAAGCUAUCAAAAAGUUUGUGUUGCUCGAUUUCGUGAGUAGAUUUGUUUUUAAUUGUACCGUGCCAUAUUUGUGUUGUGUCAAUUAAAGCUUUAAAAGAAAAAGGUGACCGCAAGUGAUAUCUAGGCAAAAGCCCCCAACAACCCUGAUAUGCGACAAAAUGGCAACGUCAUCCUGCAGCGUCAUUUGUGUAAAUAACUGUACUUGCAGUCUUGUGAAUGGAAGAACUGAAUUAAUUAUUACGACUGAACAAGCAGUUGUUUGAACCUAAAUGUAACGCAGAUAAACCAAGGUGAGACCCCGUGGGGUGGGGGAAUGACCUUAGCCAAAUGAAAUAACUUGAUGGACUAGUUUGGGCAAGACAGCUGUCAGUCUAGCUUGCCUGCUUGACUGUUUCUGCAGUGUUGCUUCUCUGGCUCACUCAUUAUUUAGCAGGUCACUCUUGUUUUGAGUCUGCGUCUUCUCGCUCUGCUGGUCUCUCAGUUUUGCCACUUAGUUUCCGGUGGAUGUUCUUCUCAGUUGUGGCGUCAGUGGCUUUUGUCGCCCCCUUAUGGUCUUUCUCUGCUGUUGCAUGUUGAAGCCAGUGAUGCUGCAGAGUUUGACUAGCUGUCAAGCGCCUUUUUAGGUCCACCUCCAGCAGAGCUCUGACUAGAGCUUUGGCACCUGGGACACACAGAGAUGUCUUCAUUCAAGAUUAAAGCAUAUAAAUGACUGUCGUCAAAUGUCUCACCCUCAGACACAUUGUCCCAGUAAGGGGACAUAAAGUGGACAUCUCCCCUCUGGAUGAGACAAAAGAGCUCCUCUUGAUUACGAUCUGGACUGCGGAAUGGAGGAAAGCCACUCAGGAGCACAAACAGGAUAACACCCAUCGCCCAGACGUCUACUGCAACACCGCAAAUGAUAAGAACAAACAACUUUUCCUCUGAACAAACUUAACAAGAGUAACUCUGGACUGCAGAGGCAACUGUGAGUGAAGUCUUUUUUUUUUCACUGCACAUUAAAGGGUUAGUUCACCCAAAAAUGAAAAUUCUGUCAUCAUUUACUCACCCUAAAGUUGUUCCAAAACUGUAUAAAAUUCUUGGUUCUGUUGAACACAAAAGAAGAUAUUUUGAAGACUGUGGGAAACUAAACCGUUCAGCACUGU